AUUUUUGGACCGGAGGCGGGCGGCCCUGCUUCGCGCCCCGAGCGCUGAGAUCUGCCUCAGUUUGAAAUUCGAAAGUGCUUGGAGCGUGCAUCGCCUCCCGGACCGUAUCCAGAUCCUUCGAUUUUUUUUCACCGGGCAGUAGGAACAAAAAAAAAGCAAGAUGGACGCCAUCAAAAAGAAGAUGCAGGCCAUGAAAAUGGAGAAGGAUUCCGCGAUGGACAAAGCGGAUACCUGCGAGGGACAGGCCAAAGAUGCCAACUUGCGUGCUGACAAGGUCCUUGAGGAUGUACGUGAUUGCCAGAAAAAAUUGACGCAAGUUGAAAGUGACUUAGAAACAACCAAGAAGAACUUGGAACAAGCCAACAAGGAUCUCGAGGAAAGAGAGAAGGCUUUGACAGCUGCUGAAAGUGAAGUAGCUGCUUUGAACAGGAAAGUCCAAAUGAUUGAGGAGGAUCUCGAGCGAUCUGAAGAGCGAUCAUCCACAGCCACUGCCAAGUUAGCUGAGGCUUCUCAGGCUGCUGACGAAUCUUUCCGUAUGUGCAAAGUAUUGGAAAACAGAAGUCAACAAGAUGAAGAACGUAUGGACCAGUUGACCAACCAGUUGAAAGAGGCUAGGUUAUUAGCUGAAGAUGCUGACAGCAAAUCUGAUGAGGUCUCCCGCAAGUUGGCCUUCGUUGAAGAUGAAUUAGAGGUAGCAGAAGACCGUGUCAAAUCUGGAGACUCGAAAAUCAUGGAAUUGGAAGAAGAAUUGAAAGUCGUUGGAAACAGUUUAAAAUCAUUAGAAGUAUCAGAAGAGAAGGCUAAUCAAAGAGUUGAAGAAUACAAACAACAAAUCAAGCAGUUGACCGUCAAACUGAAGGAGGCUGAGGCUAGGGCUGAAUUUGCUGAGAAGACCGUCAAGAAAUUACAGAAGGAAGUUGACAGACUUGAAGACGACCUCUUCCACGAAAAAGAGAAAUAUAAAGCGAUUUGUGACGAUUUGGACUCAACAUUCGCUGAGCUCACUGGCUAUUAGAAUUCUAAAUCCUACCUCUUUAUCCCUGCCCCACUCAAAAAAUUCCCAACUUCCCCCUCCAUUCCACCUGGGCCCUCAAAGCCUGGCAGUUUCAUUUUUCCUUUUUUAAACAACUCUUUUUUGCUUUUUGUAACUUAAUAUAAAUGUCAACUCAACUCUGCUUUUUUCUUUUUCUUUUUUAAUAGCGUUCAGUUUUCUUUUUAAACGAAAUUCCUUAAGCAAACUGUGAUAAAACUAACCUGACCACCACUGCACAAUUCCUCACAUAAUUCUGCAGUGCUGGUGCAUCAGUUGAGUCGUUCAUCACAAAGAGCAUUAUUUUCAAAUUAAUUUUACUCUCUCCGUUUCGAACGCCCACAAAAGCUUCUUUAAUUAAAUACCAUUAUUCAGGACCCUAGAGUAUAAGUGCAGAUUCACAUUUAUCUAUUUCAGUGAAUAGUUUACUCAAUUUGUGCAACUUUUGGGGUUGUUUGAUUAUUUUCUAUAAAUUUCAUCAAAAAAAGAAAAAUGAAUUGAGAAAGAGAGCAGAAGAAUUCAUUUAUUAAUUUGUCCUAAGUUUUUUCUCAUACUUUACCGUUGAGUGGGAAUGUAUUGAAAUUAUCCUCUAAAGCUGAUUAAAGUAAGUUCUAAAAUGUGCAUUCAUUUUCCAACAUAGAUGUAUACAUAAAUAAGGGAAGACCUGUCAAAAUCUGAUUUCAUGAACUAUCAGCAAAAUAUUUAUCUUGAAUUUUUAGUUAUUGAAAGAAAGUUCUUAGCACAACAUGUAAAACUUUACAAACAUCCCUUUGCCACAAAUGCUCUUUUGGUUAUGAUGCGCUAAUUAACUGGUCUAUUGACAAUGCAGAAAUAAGAUUGGUAGUACUUAACACUAAUUUAAAUACUGCUUCAAAGAUCGCAGGAAAAUGUAACAAGCGUUCUUGAAUCUCACCUACUUCUUCCCUCUGUUCUCCCCCAUUAGAUAUUUUUUUUUUAGCUCUCUCUGCUUCUUUUUUUUCUCACCCCUUGACCCAUACGUUAACUUUUCGCUGAUUUCUCUACUGGAAAUUUUAUGCUUCAUCAACUGAUUUUAAGACGAACUUGGUCUCAACAAGGACAGGUACAAGUCUCUUGCCGAUGAAAUGGACUCCACUUUCGCUGAACUGGCUGGUUACUAGAUUCAACCCCAGAUCCAUCUACCAACUUCAUUAUUUAUUUUAUUUAUUUAUCCUAAUUAUUCUUCUGUUUUGUUUUUGUUUUUUUCUAAAGAAUCUUUUAUCUAUUGUCAUCGUCAUAAUAUAUUUUGGCUAAAAAAAUAAUUUACUAAUUUUCUCUUUUCUUCAUCUUCACCAAUUUUUUUUCUGGUCAACCUACAAUUUGACACGUUGGACUCCUAUUCAGAAUGAACUUGUUAGCUUCAGACGCAGACUGAUCUAUACGUGGAGCUUAUAUCACCAGAAACAUGUGUAUAUUACAGAGAGACAUACAUGUGUCUUUGGUCGUGUAUAUAAACAUAAUCAUUGCUCUUGCACUCAAAGUGACGUGCUCUCAGUUCAUUCGCACUUAUCCAGUCCACUUCGUUUUUUAUUUCUUUUCUUAUCCACUUUUCAAUGAGCGCAACCACAAUGAAAGUGAGCACACUUUAUUUUACUAGUUAUAUAUUAAAAAUAGGAAUGUAAGUUCUAGAAGUAAUAAUUUUUCUAAGUUAGGUAGAGUUUUUACAUUUAAUGAUCGAAUCAAUGAAGAGUACUUCUAGUCCCUUAAAUUCGUUUCUGAGCAACUUGAAACUCAAUUCAUUGGGAAAUUAGUCAAGUAGCGAAUAACCCUUGUAUAAUCUGUUACCAAAUUGUAAGUUAAAUGUACAUAUUUUUAUGCUGCCUAACUCUGCCUCUCCUAUAGCUAGUCACCUCAGCCGUAGAAAACGUUGAAUUUUUCGACAUAGUGCCUUUGUAUCAUAAAACUAGGUGGAAACAGCCUUAUAAUAUCUCCUUACUUUAAAUAUAGGUUUAAUCAUUAGGUGUAUGAGAAUGUGUUGUUGUAGGUCAAAUCUAAUUUGAGCUAAUUUUAAGAUAGUGAUUUUUAAGAGGUUUCUAGUUGUUGGUUUUUAUUGUUAAUAUUUACCUCCAGUGUUAUCUUAAUGGCAAACAUAGUUUUACCUACAAACAAGUAAGUGUAUAAUAUUUUGUCAACUCGUUAAUUAAAUUGGACUUAAGUAGAUAAUUUUAGUGAAUUCUGCAUUGAAGAAUUGCACGACAUCGAUUUUAAUUUUAAGCGCUUCUUUGCUAACAUCAGCAAGAACUUUAUGAGGUUAUCUCAGGUGCUUGAUUUACUAUAAUAACUUUGACUAACAAAAACCGCAAUCUUUGGUUUCUGAAAUUGUACGAAAAUUUUUUCUGACCGCUUCGGAGGUUUCUUGCAAAGUGGAUCCUUCAAGAAAAUUUGUAUUGAGGAGGUUCAAUAAAUUGUUGGCUUUGAUAUUAA